GGCCCCUAAAUGACCGCUCAGUGAUAAAGGAGGUGGGGCUACAAAGACAGCCCGAAAGUUUGCCUAGAAGCAGCCACCCUUUAAAGAGUGCGUAAUAGCUCACUGAUCGAGCGCCCUUGCGCUCAAGAUGAUCGCCUUUAGUACUUUCC
rnacentral:ncRNA from 1 species